AGUUGGGGGCAUCAGUAUUCUGAAGCGAGAGGUGAAAUUCUUGGACCUUCGGAAGACUAACAACUGCGAAAGCAUUUGCCUAGGAUGUUCUCUUUAAUCAAGAACGAAAGUUGGGGGAUCGAAGACGAUCAGAUACCGUCGUAGUCUCAACUAUAAACUAUGCCAGCUAGGGAUUGGUGGACGUUUAUUUACGACUCCAUCAGCACCUUAUGAGAAAUCAAAGCAUUUGGGUUCCGGGGGGAGUAUGGUCGCAAGGCUGAAACUUAAAGGAAUUGACGGGAGGGCACCACCAGGAGUGGAGCCUGUGGCUAAAUUUGACUCAACACGGGAAAACUUACCAGGUCCGGACAUAGUAAGGAUUGACAGAUUGAUAGC
rnacentral:rRNA from 1 species